CAAUAGCGUAUAUUAAAGUUGUUGCAGUUAAAAAGCUCGUAGUUGGAUUUGUGGCGUACGGUGUGUUCCGGGCACUUGUUGUCUGAGUAACCUGCUGUUGCCAUCCUUGGGUGGAACCUGUGUGGCAUUAGGUUGUCGUGCAGGGGAUGCCCAUCAUUUACUGUGAAAAAAUUAGAGUGUUCAAAGCAGGCUUAUGCCGUUGAAUAUAUUAGCAUGGAAUAAUGAGAUAGGACUUUUUUGCUAUUUUGUUGGUUUGCGCAAAGAGGUAAUGAUUAAUAGGGACAGUUGGGGGUGUCCGUAUUCCAUUGUCAGAGGUGAAAUUCUUGGGUUUUUGGAAGACGAACUACUGCGAAAGCAUUUACCAAGGAUGUUUUCAUUAA
rnacentral:rRNA from 1 species